ACUGCUCAGCUCAGUCCUCUAGGUGGUGGGGGCGCAAGAUAGUGCGUGGAGACCCCUGUCACAGACUGGCUCCGGAAAGGGGGGGAGGGAGGAAGAGAAGUGGAAAUGCGGUCACUCCAUUCGGCAGUUUAAAUGUUGGCAGAGGCAUAAGGGGUGGCAGUGCCUCCCCAAGCCAGGUCACAUCAGUGUGUACGCAGGAGCUGCUGGGGGUGGCAAGAGGCACGUGGCAAGGCAGAGGCAGAGCUGGGCAGCGAGACAGCGAGGCUGUGGCGGAGCCAGGCAGCAACGCCAGGAUGAGAAAGGAACUGAUUAGCUGGCUUUCUAAACUGUCCGGGGGAUCUCAGAGACUGGGACAGGUCUAUGGACUCAUCUUUGAGAAACACUGAUCUAAGGAUCAUGGCUAAAAGUCUGGGAACUGACAAGAACAAAGGAACUCUAGCUCUAAGCAACUCUCAUCUCGUGGAAGGAGGAACUUGUUGAGGAACUGUAUAGAGAAAUGAGACUUACAUGGGAACUCAUUGAGGCUAGAUGAAAUAUGUCUUACCAUCAAUGUGUGUGGUCUAUUUGCUGUUUGUAAAAUACUUAUCUCUGACUUGUGCUUUGUGUCUACUGUCAGAAUAAACAUUACUCUGGUUUUACAAAACCUAUCCAGUCAUUAUGCAGAUACCAGUGGCUACAGACUCCCCAAGGAAAUAAUUCCAGGUGCCUAACCAGGUCAGACCUGCUGGGUAAGCAGGGUUGACACACA